rnacentral:rRNA from 1 species
GAUGAACGCUGGCGGCGUGCCUAAUACAUGCGAGUCGAGCGAACGGACGAGAGGCUUGCUUCUCUGAUGUUAGCGGCGGACGGGUGAGUAACACGUGGAUAACCUACCUAUAAGACUGGGAUAACUUCGGGAAACCGGAGCUAAUACCGGAUGAUAUUUUGAACCGCAUGGUUCAAAAGUGAAAGACGGUCUUGCUGUCACUUAUAGAUGGAUCCGCGCUGCAUUAGCUAGUUGGUAAGGUAACGGCUUACCAGGGCAACGAUGCAUAGCCGACCUAAGAGGGUGAUCGGCCACACUGGAACUGAGACACGGUCAAGACUACUACGGGAGGCAGCAGUAGGGAAUCUUCCGCAAUGGGCGAAAGCAUGACGGAGCAACGCAGAGUGAGUGAUGAAGGUCUUCGGAUAGUAAAACUCUGUUAUUAGGGAAGAACAUAUGUGUAAGUAACUGUGCACAUCUUGACGGUACCUAAUCAGAAAGCCACGGCUAACUACGUG